GUGAUAGUAUAGCUUGGCUAGUACUCAGGACUGUGGAUCCUGGAGCCCGGGUUCAAAUCCCGGUCCCGGCCCCA
rnacentral:tRNA from 1 species